GCACUCGUGGCGCAAUUGGAUAGCGUGUCAGCCUCCGACGCUGAAGGUUGUGGGUUCGAUCCCCGCCGGGUGCACCA
rnacentral:tRNA from 1 species